AUUUUCAUUUUCUUAAAAGAUUUUCUUCCCUAUAAUAGGAGAGUCUUCCUUAAGGAUGAGGUCAAGAAAGGUGCUCCUUCAAUGGAAAACACUUCUGAGUUUCACCUCUUCCUUUUUCAAUGAACAAGGAUCUAAUGUUGAAAAUCUUCUUAUGUUGGUUUCUUCAAAACUUUCUCUUGCUCUUUUUUCAAGAAAAAACUUUUACGAAGGGGAAUAAUGUAUGUUUUCAUAUAGGCUUUUUGAUCAUGUGGUACACUUGUUAAAGUAUGGUUUCCUACGAAUGGUGAUAAUCUAUUGACUUUGGAUUCAGCAAAACACGUAGCUGACAGAUCUCUACUCUACUAUCAUCCACGUUUAUGUUACUUGCACAUUUAGACCAAGUGGUAGAUGCACAUGGGCUAUAUCCCUUGGAAUAGGAGAGACAAUCGCGGGCACUGCGACUCUCAAGUCAAUCAACGAUUGAAGGUAAUUUAUUGGGUAUAAGAGAUAAUGACCUCGUGAUAGAUCCUGUUGAAGAGCAAGCAAUCAGUUUGCAAUAUCAUAGUGGCAUUUAGAAUUGCAUUGCCUUUAAAAAAUACUGCUUGUGAGCUUUUCUACUAUGAGAGAAGAGGAGAUGUCCGCUGAAUGGUUGACCUGGGGCCUCAUCCUAAUAGCAAAUGGGUAAGCUGGACAUGUAUCCAUCCUAGUUGUCCUAAGCCUGUAGAUAAGCAAAUGGAUAAGCUUGACAUGCAUGUACCUAGGCAGCUAUGGGCAUAGCGGUGACCAUGCAUAUGGGCGAUCG
rnacentral:lncRNA from 1 species